rnacentral:rRNA from 1 species
GAUGAACGCUGGCGGCGUGCCUAAUACAUGCAAGUCGAGCGAACGGACGAGAAGCUUGCUUUUCUGAUGUUAGCGGCGGACGGGUGAGUAACACGUGGAUAACCUACCUAUAAGACUGGGAUAACUUCGGGAAACCGGAGCUAAUACCGGAUAAUAUUUUGAACCGCAUGGUUCAAAAGUGAAAGACGGUCAUGCUGUCACUUAUAGAUGGAUCCGCGCUGCAUUAGCUAGUUGGUAAGGUAACGGCUUACCAAGGCAACGAUGCAUAGCCGACCUGAGAGGGUGAUCGGCCACACUGGAACUGAGACACGGUCCAGACUCCUACGGGAGGCAGCAGUAGGGAAUCUUCCGCAAUGGGCGAAAGCCUGACGGAGCAACGCCGCGUGAGUGAUGAAGGUCUUCGGAUCGUAAAACUCUGUUAUUAGGGAAGAACAUAUGUGUAAGUAACUGUGCACAUCUUGACGGUACCUAAUCAGAAAGCCACGGCUAACUACGUG